rnacentral:rRNA from 1 species
UAGAGUUUGAUCCUGGCUCAGGGUUAACGCUGGCGGCGCGCAUAACACAUGCAAGUCGAGCGAGGGCUCAUUUCACGCAAGGGAGAUGAGUUCCUAGCGGCGAACGGGUGAGUAACACGUGAGCAACCUUUCCUAUCGCGGGGGAUAACAGCGGGAAACCGCUGCUAAUACCGCAUGUCGUCACCGGGUCGCAUGGCCGGGUGAAGAAAGCAGCAAUGCACGAUGGGGGGUGGGCCCGCGGCCCUUAUCAGCUUAGUCCGGUGGGGGUUAACCGGCCUUCCCAAGGCCGAUUGAACCGGGUAGCUUGGGUCUUGAGAGGGACAACCCCCCCCCCCGGGGAACUGAAAAACGGGGCCCCGACUCUCUACGGGGAGGCAGCGUGGUGUAAAUCUUUCCGAAUAGGGGCGAAAAGACUCUACAGAAACGCCCCCCCCGUGUGGAAAAAAAAUCUCUCUCGGAAUAUAACACCUCUGUGUGAGGGGAGAAAAUGUGUGUCCCUCCAAGAAGAGACGCGGUGAUAUGGGGGCACUACGCGUGGUAAAUCGUCGGGGGAGGAUUUCAUAUUUCUCGUCGAACCGUUAGGGCGGGGGUAACGUGAUGGUAUCCCCGGGUCCCCCCGACAUUAUGACACC